rnacentral:rRNA from 1 species
AUUGAACGCUGGCGGCAUGCCUUACACAUGCAAGUCGAACGGCAGCACGGGUGCUUGCACCUGGUGGCGAGUGGCGAACGGGUGAGUAAUACAUCGGAACAUGUCCUGUAGUGGGGGAUAGCCCGGCGAAAGCCGGAUUAAUACCGCAUACGAUCCACGGAUGAAAGCGGGGGACCUUCGGGCCUCGCGCUAUAGGGUUGGCCGAUGGCUGAUUAGCUAGUUGGUGGGGUAAAGGCCUACCAAGGCGACGAUCAGUAGCUGGUCUGAGAGGACGACCAGCCACACUGGGACUGAGACACGGCCCAGACUCCUACGGGAGGCAGCAGUGGGGAAUUUUGGACAAUGGGCGAAAGCCUGAUCCAGCAAUGCCGCGUGUGUGAAGAAGGCCUUCGGGUUGUAAAGCACUUUUGUCCGGAAAGAAAUCCUUGGCCCUAAUACAGUCGGGGGAUGACGGUACCGGAAGAAUAAGCACCGGCUAACUACGUG